GUGAUGCUCCUAAAUCCAGUUAGAAACAGUUUGAGAGCCAGGUUACUUGUGUAUAUUAGGAUUAUGUGGGCAAAAAUGCUGGUGAAAUUAACUGGGAGUUUCAGCCUUGUUAUUGGCAUGUUGGGGAAUUUUCCUGGUAUCAGAUAUGUGGCUGAAUAGAUGAGCUAUGCCUGGUUAAAAGUGCUUUAUCAAUCUGUAAGCAAACUUCCUUUUCCUGCCUGGAAAUGUUCACUUUACCAGAUCGGUAGGCAUCAUUGCAUUUGGCCAACUAUCUUGAUGGUUUCUUUACCUUACUUUCUGGAAAGGUCCCAAUGCUACUGUCAAGAGGAGGUAUGGCCAGAUACUCAAAUUUGCUCCAGACUUUGCUGUAUAUCAGAUGAUCCCAUGAUGCUUGCAGCCUGGAACAGUUCCUUAUAAAGGGGUUACUUGAAGCAUUACCAUUUAAAUAUUUCCUUAUGUAAGAAACCACUAUUGAUAUGUAUACAAGUAAUGCAAAAAAGAUACAUUGUGAAGGUUUUAAUGAAUAUGUUCUGAUUUUCUUUAUAAGGGAGAGAGGGGACAAAAUCACUUAUGCUGAAGCAACUUUAAGCAAUACACUGAAGAUUUCAAGGUAGGCAAAUUCAAACAUGUUUCUGACUUUUGGACAGACAAGCAAGUAGAUAUCUACUCUCAGGCUCUACUUUUCCUUUUUUUUUAUUUUUUUUAUUUUUAUUUUUGGAGAGGGAGUCUCACUCUGUCGCCAGGCUGGAGUGCAGUGGUGAGAACCUGGCACACUGCAACCUCUGCCUCCAGGUUCAAGAAAUUCUCCUGCCUCAGCCUCCCGAGUAGCUGGGACUACAGGUGUGUGCCACCACACCUGGCUAAUUUUUUGUAUUUUUAGUAGAGACGGGGUUUCACCAUGUUAGCCAGGAUGAUCUCAAUCUCCUGACCUCUUGAUCCACCCUCCUCAGACUUCCAAAGUGCUGGGAUUACAGGCGUGUGCCACCAUGCCUGGCCAACUCUGCUUAUCUUUUGCGACUUUAUAUUCCCAAGAUCCAUGGUCUAGAGAAUAAUAAGGACUUUAUACAUCUUGCUAAGAUAAUAACAGAGGGACAUCUGGAACAAUUUGGUCAGAUAUUUAUUUAUAUUUAUAUCUAUAUCUGUAUUUAUCUCCGUGUGUGUUAACCAUCCCAUUGAUUUUGUGUUAGGCAUGGAUUCCUAAGAGCUCAAUGGUUAU
rnacentral:lncRNA from 10 species